UGUUCAAGUGAAAAUGUAAAUAAAUCAUAGAGCGAGAAAGAGAGAGAGAGAAAAUCGCGAAAGGUAAAUAGACCCCGAAUUAAGUAAGACAAAUGUGCAAAAGUGAUUGAAAGCCGCGUCGAAAAUGAUUGUGAAAAUGGAGCCGGACGAACUGAUCACAUUCCGUGUCCAGUAUCUGGUGGACGGCGAUCCGCUCUCGGCCUGCACCGCCUUCCCGAUCCCGGUGCGGGCGCCCACCUACGCCUUCGUCACCACCAUGCCGCUGGCCCAUCAGCUGGGCACCAUCCUGCGGCUGCUCAACGCGCCCCAAAGCAUCGACGAUGCAGCCAUCCAGGUGUACAAGGAUGGCGACUACGGAGCCUACUUGGAUCUGGAGUCAUCGCUGGCCGAGCAGACCGAGGAAAUCGAGGGAGUCAACGUCAGCCGCAAGAACUCGCUGGUGGUGCGAACGCAGUUAAAUGUGCGCGUGCAUGCCAUAAUUGAGAAGCUGCUCUCCGCACAGGGCAGUGACCUGCGGCGCGCUCUCUUCUCGCUGAAGCAGGUGUUCCAGGAGGAUAAGGAUCUGGUGCACGCCUUCGUGGCCCUCGGCGGGCUCAAUUGCUUGGUGCGCGUGGGCAAUUGUGCGGAUCAAAACUAUCAGAAUUACAUUCUGCGGGCCCUCGGCCAGGUCAUGCUCUAUGUGGACGGAAUGAACGGCGUGAUGAAGCAUGAGCCGACGAUGCAGUGGCUCUACUCGCUGAUUGCCUCCAAUUACCGCUCCGUGGUGAAGACCGCCCUCAAGCUGUUGCUGGUCUUCGUGGAGUACGCCGAGUCCAACUGCUAUGUGCUGGUCAGUGCCAUUCACGCAGUGGACGCUUCCCAGGGCACACUGCCGUGGUCAAAUAUAAUGAGACUGCUUAAGGACUACGACAAUGCGGAUGCCGAGCUGGUCAUCUAUGCCACUUCUCUGAUAAACAAAACCCUAGCGGGUCUAAAUGAUCAGGACAGCUUCUACGACGAAAGCGAUCUUCUAGAGCAGCAGGGCAUGGAGACUGUGAUCCAGCGUUAUAUGUCCAAGCCGGGCACAGAUUUGGAUCUCCUCGAUCAGCUGCAACUGUAUGAGGCUGUGCUGAAAUUUGAGGAUGGUGAGUCGGAUGGACAGCGUCUGCCGCAGAACUCGAUGCGAAAAACGCAACGCUAUCGCCCGGGAACAAAUACCACUGAACGGCGCAAAUCGCGUCGCCACAGCACGGAUAAUAGUCCCGCACCACUCACAAAGGUGCUGCCCACCACUGUCCUCCGGAUGACACCCACACAGGCCACCGUGGAUGAGGACAGUUCUGGAUCCACCAACUCUACGGAAUUUAGCGGAGGGCUCUUCAAUGAGAAGAAACCUCGCGAUGGAGCAGGCGUGACUCCAGGACUUCGAAGAAGACGAGAGCGGGCGGAGCGGCACAAGAGCUUCCUGAAGGAGCAACAGGAGGCGGCUGCCAAUGGAAUCUUCGCUGCUCUCGAGCAGCGCGAGGGACUGGGCCAAAUUGUAACUGCCAUACCCGCCACCAUUCAAACCGGCGACAGCCCGCCGCAGUCCCUGCAACAUGAGGCACCACCGUGCAACAACAUCAGCGGAAUCUCCAGCAUCAGUAACAACAACGUUAGCAACCUUAGCUGCAAUGACACGCCGAACAACAGCCUCCUGGUGAUGAGUCCUAGCAAGCAACUGCUCACCGGAAGCCACAGCAUCUCCAUCAUAAACAACAGCUUCGAUAAGGCGAGCAAUAACAAUCAGAGCGAGUUCCUGACCAAGAAGAACCUAUUCCGGGAACGCAAUUCAACUGUGAUCAAUGGUAUAAUGAAGAAUAUCCAGCAAACCGAUAGUGCCUAUAAGAAGUACGAGAACGAGGCGAACCGUCUGAACAACUACUAUAGUCAGUCGCCGAAACAUCAGAUCCAUCAGCCAAUUCAGCCAACGCCAGAGGUCCUUUUGAGUCCCAAAAAAACGCUGAAUGCUUCUGGGUUCGACUUCACGCCCGCUCCCCUCAGUUCCACCCCGGUUAAGUGUGAUGUGCUGCCGGAACCGGAGCCACUCAGUCCGGUCAAGAAACCCGCUGCGGCCCCACCACCGCCUCCUCCACCGCCACCGCCGCCUCCACCGCCACCUGGCUGGUGGCACGCCCCCAUCUACAGCUGCCCGCCAGCUCGUACCCUAACCAGUACUAACCCAGAGCUGCUGCCGCAUCCGCCGGAUCCUACAGAUAUGGACAGCGAGGACAAGCAGCUGCUGCUCCAACUGAAGCGGGACCACACCGUCAAGGAUCUCACCCAGAAGCUGAGCAACCUGCCCAUGAGUCCCACGCAGGAUUCCGCCAAUCGUGCCCUCGUCGGCGAUAUGUCCGGCUUGAUUUCGAAGGCCAAGGAGGGUCUGGCCAAGAGCAAGAGCAAGGGAGAUAUAUCCAGAUCUUCUAGUGUCGAUCAGGACAUAAAGAAGUCUGAGCCCAAGAAGUCGGAAAACGAACUUCACUGGGAGGAACUGGUUAGGAACAUGACAAGGCCCCUGAAUCUUUGCGAUCUGGACUUUACGGACCUGAGGGACGAUGACGAGAAGGAUGUGCUGGCCCCCCGAAGUUUGGGCGCAGGAAUACCCCCGCCGCCACCCCCGUUGGGUGGAGCCAUUGCCCCACCGCCCAUGAUGCCGCCCAGCCUGGCGCCUCCACCCAUGUACGGAUAUGGCGGCAGUCUGACCAACAGUGUCAACUCGCUGAAUGGCUCCAUAAAUGGGGAACUGGUUAAUGGCAAUAACACCAUCAAAAAGAACAAGAAAACGGUCAAGCUCUUCUGGAAGGAAGUGCGCGAGGACAUGAUACCGCAGGUGGUGGGCAAGACCAUUUGGGAUGAGCUGCCCGAUGCCAACGUGGACACCCAGAAGCUCGAACAUCUCUUUGAGUCCCGGGCCAAAGACUUGAUGACCAAGAAACAACAAGAGCUGAACAAGAGCAAAGAGAUCAUCGUGCUUGAUCACAAGCGCUCCAAUGCCAUCAACAUUGCGAUCACCAAGCUGCCUCCUCCGAGGGCCAUUAAGACGGCCAUCCUCAAGAUGGAUGCCACCGUGGUCACUCGGGAGGGAAUCGAUAAGCUACUCAAUAUGCUGCCCACCGAUGAGGAGCGUGGCAAGAUCCAGGAGGCCCAGCUAUCCAACCCGGAGCUGCCCCUGGGCAGUGCCGAGCAGUUCCUGUUGACCCUGGCCUCCAUUUCGGAGCUGGAAGCCCGCCUGAAGUUGUGGGCUUUCCGUCUGGACUUUGACAACAGUGAGAAAGAGAUUGCGGAACCCCUGAUGGACCUCAAGCAAGGCAUUGAGAUCCUGCGUCAGAAUCGCACCUUCCGCAGCAUCCUCUCCACACUGCUGUCUGUGGGCAUCUUUCUGAAUGGAGCUCCCGUCAAGGGAUUCCAGAUCGAGUAUCUGGCAAAGGUUCCGGAAGUGAAGGACACGGUGCACAAACACUCGCUGCUGCACCACCUCUGCCACAUGGUCAUGGAAUCGAGCAGUGAUACCAGUGAUCUGUACUCCGAGAUUGGACCCAUUACCCGAGCCUCCAAGGCGGACUUCACGGACUUGGCACACAAUCUCAAUCAGUUGGAGGCGGAGUGCAAGGCAUGCUGGGAUCGCCUGAAGCUAAUUGCCAAACACGACUGUCCGCCACCGUUGAAGCAGAAGCUGGUGGACUUCCUGGCCGAUUGUGCGGAGCGCAUCAUUAUCCUGCAAAUCGUCCAUCGACGCGUGAUGAAUCGCUACCGGAAGUUCCUUUUGUGGCUGGGAAUGCCGCAGCACAGUGUGGCGGAAUCGCGUCCCAACGAAUUCUGCCGCACUCUCUCCGAGUUCGCCCUGGAAUACCGCACCACCCGGGAGCGGGUGCAGCAGCAGCUGGAGAAGAAGGCCAACCACCGGGAGCGGAACAAGACCCGUGGAAAGCUGAUCAUCGACAUGGCCAAGUUCAAGACCAAAGAUGACGUGGCCGAUGAUGAGUUGAAAAAACUGCUGGACACAUCGAGUGCCGACCAGGCCGAUGGCACACUCACCUGGCGGAGGCGACGAGCGGAACAGCUCCGCUCACCAAUUACGCGGCAAAGCGAGGAGCAGUUCACCGAUGGCGACGAUGAGAUCUUGGAAUCCCUGGUCAAGACCGCCACCAAGGCUCCAGGCACCCGGACAACGCCGAGGGAACGGAAACGGACGCGCCACGCGGAUCGCAAAUCAUUGAAGCGCAGCCGCACGCGCGAAGGAUUCACAGUUGAAAGAGCACCAUCGCCGUAGAAACCGUUACUGUUAACCGAAUCCGUAACCGUGGCCAAAAGAACAGCCAACUGUUUUUUAGGUUUUACCUUUUUUGUACGUCGCACGCUGAAAAACGGUCUGACCGAGGAGGAGAAACAGCACGUGGCUGCCUUAAUACAAACCUAUUAGGAUAAGCACAUACU
rnacentral:misc_RNA from 1 species